rnacentral:rRNA from 1 species
AUACGUAGGGGGCGAGCGUUGUCCGGAAUGAUUGGGCGUAAAGGGCGCGUAGGCGGCCGCUUAAGUCUGGAGUGAAAGUCCUGUUUUCAAGAUGGGAAUUGCUUUGGAUACUGGGGGGCUUGAGUGCAGGAGAGGUUAUCGGAAUUCCCGGUGUAGCGGUGAAAUGCGUAGAGAUCGGGAGGAACACCAGUGGCGAAGGCGGGUAACUGGACUGCAACUGACGCUGAGGCGCGAAAGUGUGGGGAGCAGACAGGAUUAGAUACCCUGGUAGUCCACACUGUAAACGAUGAAUGCUAGGUGUAAGAGGUAUCGACCCCUUUUGUGCCGGAGUCAACACAAUAAGCAUUCCGCCUGGGGAGUACGGCCGCAAGGUUGAAACUCAAAGGAAUUGACGGGG